GGAAGAAGGGCAAACGCUAGCAGAAGAAACCACAUUCAGAGUGCUCCCACGUGGCACCAGGGCUCAAACCCAAGACCUCGCGCAUGGCAAGGCAAACACUCUACCAGGCUGCUGAAGUUUUUCCCCACGGGGAGAAAUCCACAGAGAAAAUGGACCUUUCGUGGAAGGGCUCACUCAUUUAUUAGAAAGAACUAAGCACCGAGAUAGUCCCUGCUUCCUGGCAUCACAGGAACAAAGAAAGCGCGCAGUACCUCCCGUGAAGUCCUCCUGCCAAAAAUGUUUUGACCACAUCCCAUGCAUCCUUCAAAUAUGACUUCUGAGUUUUAAGAAAUGGAGAAACAAGUCAUGCAACAUCACAGGGAAGGGGCCAGAGGACGCAGAAAGAGGGACAUAGCAGGAACACAAGCCUAGAAUUGUCAACCGGUCACGAUGUGGACACAACUACAGGUGGACUCAAGAGGAGCAGAGAAACUGUCUGGGUACUUUUUUUUUUUUUUGCAAAUUCACAUUUUAAGUAUAUUUAAAAAAAUUAUUGGGGGCCAGGCAGUAGCGCAGUGGGUUAAGCACACAUGGCAGGAAGCGCAAGGACCAGCAUAAGGAUCCCGGUUCGAGCCCAUGGUUCGCCAUCUGCAGGAGGGUCGCUUCACAAGUGGUGAAGCAGGUCUUCAGGUGUCUAUCUUUUUCUUUCUUUCUUCCUUUUUUAAAAAAUAUUUAUUUAUUCCC